ACUCAUUGUCCUCAUGUAUUACCACCUCCUCCUCUUCCUGUACAACUUCAACCUUUGGCCGCUCUGCUUCUUUUUUCUGAAGGGAAAGAUUCACACAGAUAGACACGGUUAGCUUUCCCAACUGGUACAGCAGCAUCUGUAUUGCCAUGAACAGGGCUUUUGGUAACAGCAAGCACACACCUUGUACUCUUCCUGUUGUAUCCUGCAGUAGCGGUCAUUACACUGGGGGUUGGCUUUCAUGGUCAUGGUGGGGAAGAAGUCCUGCAUGGCAUUGUAGCCAAGAUAAUAACUGACUGUGCCAAACUUCAACAGAUACCUGAGAGACAAAAAAAUUCAAUCAACAAUAUUUAACUUAACAUUUACAGACAAAUACACCUUUUAGGCUUCCCACCGAUAAGGAUAACUUACUUGAGGACAUUUUGCACCAGGAGGCCUGCGACCACGCCCAUUGUUGUUGCAAAGCACGCCGUCUCUCCCGGAAUGAUGAGCUGGAUGUGCCCCGACACAGCGUUCUCACUGACACCAGACUCCAUCCAGAUCUGACCUAGUUCAUUACAGGCCUGUGAAAAACAUGAUGCAAUUAAUACAAUCUGCAAGAGUACCAUGUAUAAAGCUUUUUUUCUCUGACAGUGCUGCACUUACUGUAUUAAUGGCCAUCCUAGCCUCAAAGUUGUCUACACAGCUCAGGAUCAAAUCCACUGGCUUCCCUUCUUCUAGCCCUCCAUAACUGAGAAGACACAGAAUCAUUUGUUGUGAAGGCCUGUACCACUGAGGAGUGAGAAUAGUAAAACUAGAAACUGCAGUGUAGGAAUGCUCACCUGAUGCGCUCCAUAAAAUGUGUAAAAUUUUCCAAUGUGGUGAUAUUGUAGUUGUGGGUCUCAAAUGACACAUCCGGAUUAAUGUUCCUGUUGGGUAAAUUGAGUAACAUGUAAGCAACAAUAAACCAAAUGUCUAUUUUC